CGCGGCCUAUCAGCUUGUUGGUGAGGUAACGGCUCACCAAGGCGACGACGGGUAGCCGGCCUGAGAGGGUGACCGGCCACACUGGGACUGAGACACGGCCCAGACUCCUACGGGAGGCAGCAGUGGGGAAUAUUGCACAAUGGGCGCAAGCCUGAUGCAGCAACGCCGCGUGAGGGAUGACGGCCUUCGGGUUGUAAACCUCUUUUAGCAGGGAAGAAGCGAAAGUGACGGUACCUGCAGAAAAAGCACCGGCUAACUACGUGCCAGCAGCCGCGGUAAUACGUAGGGUGCAAGCGUUGUCCGGAAUUAUUGGGCGUAAAGAGCUCGUAGGCGGUUUGUCACGUCUGCUGUGAAAAUCCAAGGCUCAACCUUGGACUUGCAGUGGGUACGGGCAGGCUAGAGUGCGGUAGGGGAGGUGGGAAUUCCUGGUGUAGCGGUGGAAUGCGCAGAUAUCAGGAGGAACACCAAUGGCGAAGGCACAUCUCUGGGCCGUAACUGACGCUGAGGAGCGAAAGCGUGGGGAGCGAACAGGAUUAGAUACCCUGGUAGUCCACGCCGUAAACGGUGGGUGCUAGCUGUGGGCCACAUUCCACGUGGUCCGUGACGAAGUUAACACAUUAAGCACCCCGCCUGGGGAGUACGG
rnacentral:rRNA from 1 species